GAAUAAGAAUUUACGAUAUAAGAUAUGAGUUAUUUAUUAUGAGUAAGUUGGUCUGAAAUGUGAUAGGUGAAGAGGUACUGUGAAGGGGACUUGAUUUUAGAGAAGACUUUGUUAUUAGGUUACCUUUUGUAUUAGGGAUAUUUAAAAUAAGAGUUUAGGUAAACUAUCCCGAAUUGCUUGUGGGCUAACUUAGAUUUAUAAUAUUGUUACAUAAAUGUGAUUAAUUCUUGGUUAGGGAUGAAAUAUUAGUCAAACAGCAGGAUAUCUGGUUUUCUUAUAAAUAAAUUGAAUUUAUGGAAUUAUUGAUUUUUAAAGUACUGCUAGGCUUAGCUAGCAGUAAAUUAAUAUUGUAAGAAGAGGUUUUCUUAGGUAGAUUUAGUAAUGAUUAUUCGUUAAAUUUUGUUAUUAUUUAGGAGAGAGAGGGAAGCAUUAAAAUACAAUUUGGGGGAUAUAAGAAUAUGUGGUAAAGUAAGUUAGUUACAGAAAUAUUGAGUAUAUUAGUAGCUUAGGUUGAGAUUAUUUUGGUGAGCAUAAGAAGGGAGCUAGAGUAGAGUCAGGUAUUAUUAAGGAACUCGGCACAGUAAUCUUGCCUGUUUAAUAAAAACAUGGUUCUUCGGAUUUUAAUGAAGAAUCUGGCCUGCCCACUGAUUUAAGUUAAAGGGCUGCAGUAUUUUGACUGUACAAAGGUAGCAUAAUCAUUAGUCUUUUGAUUGACGACUGGAAUGAAAGGUUUGACAGGGUUACACUGUCUCAGUAAUAGGGGGUUAAUUUUACAUCCUUGUGAAAAGGCAAGGGUAAGCUAAUGGGACGAGAAGACCCUAUAAAACUUAAUUUUAAUAGGUAUAUUACUUAGAAGAUUAAUUUAGUAUAAUCAUUAAGGGUUUGCUGGGGCGGUAUUUAUUUUACAUAAAUUUGAUGAAAUAAUGGUCGAUAGCUUAAAGUUUGAUCCGGUAUUUUGGCCGAUAAAAAGAAAAAGUUACUUUAGGGAUAACAGCGUAAUAGUUUUUAAGAGUUCUUAUUGACAAAACUGUUUGCGACC
rnacentral:rRNA from 1 species